GGAGAGAUGGCAGAGCGGCCGAAUGCGGCGGUUUUGAAAACCGUUAGGCCUUCACGGGUCUCGGGGGUUCGAAUCCCUCUCUCUCCG
rnacentral:tRNA from 1 species